rnacentral:misc_RNA from 1 species
AGUCGUAACAAGGUAUCCGUAGGUGAACCUGCGGAUGGAUCAUUAUAGGUUAUUUUGAAUGUUGUGUGAACAGUGUGGUUGCAGGUUGUGGUGGGUAUAUGAUAUGGUAUAUUAUAUGAUGUAGUAUAUAUAUGGUAUGAUAUAUUAUAUGUGAUAUAUAUUAUGGUAUAUGUUAUAUGAUAUUAUAUGAUAUGGUAUAAUAUAUGAUAUCAUCCACCUUGACAACAUUGACGUACAUUAGUGCUGAAUAUCAUUAUAUUGAAAUAUAAACAACUUUCAGCAAUGGAUCUCUUGGCUCUC